CCUCAACUAAGUCGGUCGAAUAUUUUUAAAACACGUCUCGUAUAAUUUUACUAUGAUUAGCUUAUAAAUACUACAAAAUUCGAAAAGCGUCGAAAUAUAUUAAGCAUUCAGUUGAAAUCAGUGCAGCGUUCUAUGAGCUACUGAACCCUGAGAGUUAGGAAAGAUUAUAUUACUGACCAAUAUUUUUUGCCAUAUUUCAAUAACACGAAAUACAACACACCUCAACUAAGUUGGUCGAAUAUCUUUAAAACACGUAUCGUAUAAUUUUACUAUGAUAAGCCUAUAUAUACUACAAAAUUUAAACUUCGAAACUAUUCCAAAUUCAAACAACCUUAAUU